rnacentral:lncRNA from 1 species
GGAAUUACCAGGUGGGGUGCAGGAGGCUUGGAUCCCCUCUUUUAUUGAUAUUACUAUAUAUAACGGGGGAGAACUAGGAGGAGGAGCGGGGAAUUCAAAAUUUCAGAUCCUGCCUUUGUGCUCGGUAGCGGGAGAUGAAACUUUUUGAAAACCGCCAUGAGACUUGGGUCAUUGGCACAUUGGACUGAUUGAAAGAAUUUAUGACAUUGACUCCACUCCGCUGCCGUAGAGCAAUGCCUCCAUCACACGAGAUAGUGCCACCACAUCGGUCCAUCUCGCUCAAAUCACACAUUCGCCUAUGUUGAAGACAACGUCCACAAGGGCUUGGGCUGCAAUU